UCAUACUUGUUAUCUCCAGCACAAAAACAGGGCUGUUUUAACAGCAUUAUUGGCCCCUGGGAAAAGCAGUGCACUGGGGCCCGGCUUACACAACCACUCACCAUCGAUAAAAUGAAGCUUAUCUCCAACAAAACCAGCAUUUAAACAUUAAACAUGCCGUACAGCAGAGAUUAUUCCACGCAAACAUGUGGACAAUAUAACAUGAGCCAUAAAGUUGAAAUAAUAAAAAU